UGCAGUCGAACGGUAACAGGAAGUGCUUGCACUUCGCUGACGAGUGGCGGACGGGUGAGUAAUGCUUGGGAACUUGCCUUUGCGAGGGGGAUAACAGUUGGAAACGACUGCUAAUACCGCAUAAUGUCUUCGGACCAAACGGGGCUUAGGCUCCGGCGCAAAGAGAGGCCCAAGUGAGAUUAGCUAGUUGGUAAGGUAACGGCUUACCAAGGCGACGAUCUCUAGCUGUUCUGAGAGGAAGAUCAGCCACACUGGGACUGAGACACGGCCCAGACUCCUACGGGAGGCAGCAGUGGGGAAUAUUGCACAAUGGGGGAAACCCUGAUGCAGCCAUGCCGCGUGUGUGAAGAAGGCCUUCGGGUUGUAAAGCACUUUCAGUUGUGAGGAAAAGUUAGUAGUUAAUACCUGCUAGCCGUGACGUUAACAACAGAAGAAGCACCGGCUAACUCCGUGCCAGCAGCCGCGGUAAUACGGAGGGUGCGAGCGUUAAUCGGAAUUACUGGGCGUAAAGCGCACGCAGGCGGUUUGUUAAGCUAGAUGUGAAAGCCCCGGGCUCAACCUGGGAUGGUCAUUUAGAACUGGCAGACUAGAGUCUUGGAGAGGGGAGUGGAAUUCCAGGUGUAGCGGUGAAAUGCGUAGAUAUCUGGAGGAACAUCARGUGGCGAAGGCGACUCCCUGGCCAAAGACUGACGCUCAUGUKGCGAAAGUGUGGGUAGCGAACAGGAUUAGAUA
rnacentral:rRNA from 1 species